CUCUUUUGUCGGAAUUCCGCGUGGUCUUAGUCUACAGACGCCCUCUGCCUGUUGCUGUGAGGCCAGGACGUGAACAGGCCUGCCAGCCAGGCUCAGGAGGGCCACUCAGGCAUCACAAGCCUGGUGGAUUGUGUUCAUGCUGUGCCCAGUCUUCAACUGGAAGUUAACUUAGUUGUCUAUUGAGCGGAAUUAACCUUGAAUCCCAUCAACUUGCAUGAAAACCAGUCAUAUGUUUAUGCAUUUGAAAACUGAAGGAUGAUUUAAUUUUACAAAAGGUUUUAUAAUGUAUAUAAUACUAUUGAAAAGAUAUUAAUAAGGUUUUGCACCAUUGAACCCAAUACAAAAGAUAACUUCUCAUGCAUGGCCCCUGUGUUUCUUGCUUUCAUAUGUUACCAAGAAUAGUCCAUUUUGUUCAACAAAACCACUGAGUUUCAUUCUCUUUGCUGUCCAAUGCAUGGCAGAUAGUUGCUAGUUUCUUACUCUCUUUUCUCUGGAAUAUUAAUUUCUGAAGUGAAGGACUCUUUUGUCUGAUUGGCUGGGUGACUGUGAGUAUACUUCUGAGUCUCACUCACUACAUCUGAUAUGAUGAUAAUAAUCUCAUAUUUAUAAGGAGCUCACUGAGAUGUAAAGGGCCUUGCAUAAUAUGGUUCCCUGAUCGUUGGUAAAUGCUUUGCCAGCCUGACUUUAUCUAUUUAUUUUGAGAUGCUGGGGAUUGAACGUUGGGCCUUGCGUAUGCUAGGCAAGAGUUGAUAGGUAGCCCUUGAAAGAACAGUUUUAAAUACCAUGUUUCUAGAGUCCUUCAUCCUUAUCCAUCCAUAGUCACAUUUCCUAUUUUAUCUGUUCUUUAACCUGUGUGACAUAUGGACUGGGUAUAAUUUGAAAUGUAGAUAGAUAUGGCUAAAUUGGCUGACAAACACUUACAGUUCAUCAACUCUGUAUGAAGUGUCGCAAUGUGUCAUAGCAUUACUUAAGCACACUUUACCAUUUUAUAUUGAAAAGAAUGAAAUAGAUACAAAACCCAACACUUGGCAUUUGUAUAGGUUACUGGGUUGUCCUGAGAUGAGAACCCAAACUGAGGAACUGGCUUUGUUACUCACCCUCAAAACUGGCCACAAACCCUAUCCCAGUCCAGUGCCUUUUAAAAAAGAAUUUCAUCAGAUGUAUUUAUUGUACAUGGUGCCAUGUCACAUAAGGACAUUUUCAUACAAGUAUAUAUUGUGCAUUGAGCAUAUACAAUCCCUUUUCUUUCCCUGUAAAGGAUCACUCUCCUGACUUGUUAGCUUUUCAGAGUUUCUGGAAGCCAGGUGUGGUGGCUCAUGCUUAUAAUCCUAGCACUUGGGAGGUUGAGGCAGGAGAAUUGUUGUAAGCUCAGGGAUAACCUGGACUAUAGUGUAAGAUUUUCUAAAAAUAACAAAAUAAAAUAACGAGACAAAAACUACUCACUCAUCCACCCAACUAAUCAACCAAACAAAAACCAGUUUUUAAAAAAUCCAAAUGAAUAUCCUAAGAUACUAUAGUGUAAUCUCCCCAUUUGAAAAAGAAGUGGCAUUUUUUUCUUUGUUUUUGAGACUGGGUUUCAUGUGGCACAGGAUAGCCUCAAAUUCACUAUUUAUUGUUGAUGACCUUGAACUUCUGCUUCUCUUGUCUCUACUUCCCAAGUGCUGGGAUUACAGGAAUAUGCCACCAUUCAUUUCAGUGGUCCUCAACCUUCCUAAUGCUACAACCUUUUAAUACAGUUCCUCAUGUUGUGAUGACCCCAACCAAAAAACUAUUUCAUUGCUACUUCAUAACUGUAAUUCUCCUAUAACUGUUAUGAAUUGUAAUGUAAAUAUCUGAUAAGGAACCUUGAAGAAUUGGGACCACUGAUUUGUCUCUUGGUCCUUGUGGAUCAAUAGUCUUAGAUAUAGGUCUUUCCUUUUAAUAUGAAAUUUUCAAAUCUUUUUUAAUUUCAGGGAAGUUUUCUUUGACAAUGUCACACAUGGAUAGAAUGUGUCGUGACUGUGCUCACCUCUUAUGCUCUCUUAUGCCCUCCUACCUGGCCGACUCCCUUCCUUCCGUUUUUUUCCCCCAGGUUCUCGCUUCUGAGUUUUCCUAGAAGACAACCCUCAGCCCUUUCCACAGACCCUCGUAUGAGACUAGUGCUGGCAAAGGCCAACACCUUUAACAAUACUUUAAAGACAAAAGUCAUCUUUUGGUUAUGGCCUCUAAGAGAUGAGACUAAACCCAGUUAAAUGUUCUCAAAGCAUGCCUCUCUGUAUGUCCAUGCUUGGGUCCCCAGUGUCCCAGACAGAAUAGCGGUACCUCCCUCCCAAGCUCAGACAGCAUUAGAGCUGCAUCCCUCUAGGACAACAUCACUUGUGCUGUUGGGAAAAUGUGCCUUUUCCUUUAGUUGCUGAUUAAAUUCUAGUUCCUCUUUGGUACCUGGAACGUCCUUGAGGGCUGGAGAAGUAUCUAGUUCCUAGAUUUCCUUUUGAAAUUUCACCAACGACAAGGACCUCCCACAUAGUCACUUCAGUGUUCACACUUUGCAUAUCUCCACUCUACGUCCAUAGGUCUAUCCACACUUGUGUGUGGUGCAUGCCUGCCUGCCAUCAUAGACAUCUACUUGCCUCUCUUGGAGCCAGGUAGUUCAUUUAAAGGCCUCAUUGUACCCCAAGGUCUUUCCAUAAUCUUUGGGUCAUGUACAGUUGAUGAUCAUAUAAAUAAACUUUUAUUGAGCAUUUACUAAUGAA